rnacentral:rRNA from 1 species
CACGUAGGGUGCGAGCGUUGUCCGGAAUUAUUGGGCGUAAAGAGCUCGUAGGCGGUGUGUCGCGUCGGCCGUGAAAACCUGCAGCUUAACUGUGGGCUUGCGGUCGAUACGGGCAUCACUGGAGUUCGGCAGGGGAGACUGGAAUUCCUGAUGUAGCGGUGAAAUGCGCAGAUAUCAGGAGGAACACCGGUGGCGAAGGCGGGUCUCUGGGCCGAUACUGACGCUGAGGAGCGAAAGCGUGGGGAGCGAACAGG